ensembl:lncRNA
AGGGGACAUUGGGGGUGGCAAUAGGGACACAUGGGGGUCUAUGGGGGCAGUGAUAGGGAUAAAUGGGGGUCCAUGGGGACAUUGAGGUGACAAUAGGGACACUGGAGGUGACAAUAGGGACACGUGGGGGUCCAUGGGGACAGUGAUAGGGACAUAUCGGGGUCUAUGGGGACAUUGGAGGUGACAGAGGGGACAUUUGGGGACACAGGAGGGACACGUGGGGGUCUGUGGGGACACUGGAGGUGACAAUAGGGACAUAUGGGGGUCUAUGGGGACAGUGAUAGGGACAUAUGGGGGUCCAUGGGGACAUUGGAGGUGACAGAGGGGACAUUGGGGGUGGCAAUAGGGACACAUGGGGGUCUAUGGGGGCAGUGAUAGGGACACUUGGG